rnacentral:rRNA from 1 species
UACGUAGGGGGCGAGCGUUGUCCGAAGUUACUGGGCGUAAAGAGCGCGUAGGCGGGCUCUUAAGUGAGGGGUGAAAGGUUCGGGCUCAACCCGGACAGUGCCUUUCAUACUGGGAGCCUUGAGUGCGGGAGAGGCAAGUGGAAUGGUCGGUGUAGCGGUGAAAUGCGUAGAUAUCGAUCGGAACACCCGUGGCGAAGGCGGCUUGUUGGCUCGCAACUGACGCUGAGGCGCGAAAGCGUGGGGAGCAAACAGG